rnacentral:sRNA from 1 species
GCGGGUAUAUUAGCCCAAUGGUUCAAUGCUGUCCCAAUAUAAUAAUCACCAUUGCGUCGCCCUUUCUUGUGUGUCAUUAAUCAACAACUGACAGAAAAGUUUCCACUGCAAGUUGCCGCGUGUGUUAUUCACAUGCCUGCGCUGCCGUUCCUCCCUGGCCAGCCGACAAUAUUGAGUUCCCCACCCCAUAUAUCACUUCCAGCAAAAGACAAAAAAAAAAUAUCACAAAAUAAUAAUAGUGAUAAUAAUCAUAAUCAUAAUAAUAAUCAUAAUAAUCAUAUAAUAGUAAUAGUAAUAAUGGAUGCGACCCACAUCGCAGCCAGCCAGCGGAAUAUAAAAAUCCAAUCACAGCG